UACGUAGGGGCUAGCGUUAUCCGGAAUUACUGGGCGUAAAGGGUGCGUAGGUGGUUUCUUAAGUCAGAGGUGAAAGGCUACGGCUCAACCGUAGUAAGCCUUUGAAACUGGGAAACUUGAGUGCAGGAGAGGAGAGUGGAAUUCCUAGUGUAGCGGUGAAAUGCGUAGAUAUUAGGAGGAACACCAGUUGCGAAGGCGGCUCUCUGGACUGUAACUGACACUGAGGCACGAAAGCGUGGGGAGCAAACAGGAUUAGAUACCCUGGUAGUCACUGA
rnacentral:rRNA from 1 species